rnacentral:lncRNA from 1 species
AAAUUGUAUUUGCAUGUGGCACAGACUGUCUCUGGAAAAUACCAACAUAUCCACAGAGGAAGACUCAAAACAAAUAAGUGUGUUUGUGUAUGGGACUUGUUUUGUCCUAGUGUAUCACAUGAAACUAUCAUUUCUAUUUUUAUUUUUAACCUUCAUGAAAGAUUUUUGCAUUGUCAGUUGAAAAGCAAACUUAAAUCAUAAAAAUGAAAUGUUGGAAUUUUGUACUUUUACAGUUCUCUUGUGUUUGUUUAUCUGUUAUCUUAUAUUUUAGUCAUAUAAACAUGUAUAUUAUAAAUAGGCAUAAUAAAACCUUUGCACUAGUAAGCUUGAUAAAGGGAGGGGGCAUGCAUGCAGUUCAAGAUCACUUUUACUAGAUAGUAAAAAAGGAGACCUUUAAUUACAAAUGUAUGCCUAUCAAUGCAUGUAUUUGGUUACCUACAAUUUGUACAAUAGUUGAAUAGUUGGCUUGUUGCAGGAUGAAUUAAUGUAUGGUUACAGUCAGUGCUAUAUUUAUAUAGUCUAUAUAUUUUUGAGGGCCUCAGGGAAGAUUAGUGAUUGUAACUAACUGUGUUUACCCUCUUUAAAUAAAGAAUUUAUUAUUAUUAUUAUUAUUAUAGAGGAAGACCAUUUUAUCAAUCUUCAGUAGCUCAACCUUUUCUCCAAUUAGUAUAUGUGCAUAUUAUAUUAAAAAUGUCCAUAAUCUGAUGAUGAAAUUGUAUUUUUUUUGGUCAUCCUAGGAGUCUGUCGAAAAUGUUGAAGUGACAUGGUACAUGCCAUCCUGGACAAAGAUAAUCCUACAGAAAGCCUACAUGCACCUGUAAAUACAUAUUCUGAAGAUACUACCAUUACUACUGUCUCAGUCUCAGAGGAGGUAGGAAUUCGAUUACAAUGUUUAAACAAUGAUAACAGAUAUAAUUGAAAUAUUACUGUGAGAUGUUUGUGAGGUUGAAAAUAUGUAUGAUAAGAAUUUUCUUUUAAGAUUAGUAUUGCAAAUUAGUCAUUUCCUAGAAACUGUUUAUGAUGAAGAACAUGUAUGCUAAUGAUAAGAUGCUAUUGAUUCAUAAAGAAAAAAGAUUAAUAAAAAGAUUGUAUUACACAUUAUAUAGAUAUAGGAAUUAAGAUGUGGUGUGAGUGCCAAUGAGACAACUCUCCAUCCAAAUAACAAUUUAUAAAAAGGUAAACCAUUAUAGGUCAAUGUACGGCCUUCAACACGGAGCCUUGGCUCACAUCGAACAACAAACUAUAAAGGGCCCCGAAAUUACUAGUGUAAAACCAUUCAAACGGGAAUUAGCAUGAUUAUGGAAGAGAUAUUUUCUGAUUUCCUACAAUGAAAGUAUAAACAGGCUUUUGCAAAAGAUAUUACCAAUUUCAAAUAUUUGACCAAUUAUUUCAUCCCUUAUAAUUGUUUUAGCUACAUGUAUAAAUAAGGGAUGUAACCAGGUGCAUCCUUCUGACUACUACUGUCAUGACUGUUAAAACCUAUAUCUAGCAGAAGGAGCAAUUUAUUUAUUGAAGUAUUUACUUAUAGUUUCUAGUUUAUAAUUUGAUUUGACUCCUAUCUGCCAUGUCUGUGUUACAUUUCAGCUUGGUCUAAAGUACAAAGUAAGCAACAUGAGGUCAAUAGUACAUGUAUGAAAAAUAUUGUAAAUUCAUUUACAUAUAUGAUUUUGUCCUAAGUUGAUUUGAUGUAUACAAUCUAUUUCUUCUAUUUUGAUACAGAGGGCAAGCCUAGACAAGAUACCCUGUGAUUUCCAAGAUAACAACAAUUGUGAAUAUCAGGAAGAAUAUGCUGCAAGCUGUAGCACACAG